GGCAUUGACUUCCCUGAUGUCGUCGUGCUCCCUGAUGCCAGCUCCUCCUUCCUCCCGUCGCUGGACAUGCACAACACCAUCCCAUGCCCUCUGUCCGCUGGCCAGAGAAAGGCAUCAGUGAGAAAUAUGGAUGAUGCACGCGAACGGAUUGGCACUCCCAUCUCCACUGCACUGAAGGAGAUCAAGCCCAUUUCCAUCAGCAUCAACUAGAACCUCCCCUCGACCUGCAUCCUUGCCUUUCUUUUGUAUCUCCCCAAGGUAAAUUGUGCAACCUAUUGCCGCUCUGCCAUGGGUCACAUGGUCGUCCUUCAUACACCGCUUUACUAGGACUAACGCUGAAGUACAGAUGAUGGUGUAUGUAAGUUUUCACUAUUUCCUCAGUUUUUGUUUUUCCACAGUUUUCUAACUGGGGUCCUCACACAUUUUUUGUGUGUGUACAUUACGGGCCACCUAGAAAAUUCCAAAAGAAGUUGCCUCUUGUUUGGACACCCCGAAGCAUGGGCUGGCAAGACUAAGAUUGGGCAAAGAGAGCUUCAGGAGGACCGUUUAUGACACCUCACUCGACGGUUUAUUCUUCAAGCAAGGAUGGAAGAAGUUCCUCACGAGACAUGACAUGAGAUUAGCACUGCUAUACUAAUUACAUUUAAGACUGUUGCCAACAAUGAGUUGGAGAUUAUAGUCAUCCUUUUAUGUCCUUUGAGAAGAUCAUGUUGGACAAGUUCCAGGCUUUCAUGAGUUAUUUAGUCAUUUCUCAGCGUUUUUUAAACCAUGGAGGAGAACUGCAUGUGAACUUCAUAGAUACGAGAAGAAAAGAAUAAAGGCAUGUAAAAAGUUCAAUUCAUUUUCUGUUUAUUUUGUUUCCUCUUUCUCUACGUACUGGUUUUUGAACUGUGGUUUGUGAAUCGGAUGUAUAUAUUCAUGUUUUA